GUUUCUGUGAAUCAAGCACAAGUCAGCUCAUUCUCACAGGCAAUCCACAGUGACCCUCAUUGGCAAUACUGGACACUGUUUUCAAGCAUGUCAUCGCAAAAGACGUCCUCUGAGACACUGUCUGAACCUGAUAUACACCUGUGAGAGGCGAGUCUGUGGUGUGAAAACACUGUUCCAACUUGCUCUUGCUAUUGUCAUGGCUCCUGCCUUUCCCAGAGGGCCACUGCAAGGCCCAGGAGGAAGAGAGGCAGUGAGGUCAAGAGCCCAGCCAUUGUUUGCUGAUGUCAGCCUCUGGGUCUCAGGAAUGGAGUCAGAAGAUCAGUGACCAACUCACAGCCUCCAAAUGCCUCCUUCUUCAGCGGAACCCGACCACAGACAUGACACAAAAGGGUCUUGAGGCAGGAUGAGAGUUCUGAAAUCCAGGCACCUGAGCCUGCAUGAUGGAUGCAUUUGUGCCAGCCUCAGGGCACCAGGCCUGAUGGUGAGCUCUGACCACCAUCAUAAUGAAUGUCAUCAUUGCCUAGUGACAAGUCCAGGCGGCUUGGCAGAGAAGACAUCCGUGGAGGUGAGUCGGUGGUGAAUUCUCGCUUGUCUUCUCUGAGGGAUCUACGACAUACUCUCAUGAUUC
rnacentral:lncRNA from 1 species